GAUGAACGCUGGCGGCGUGCCUAAUACAUGCAAGUCGAGCGAACAGACGAGGAGCUUGCUCCUCUGACGUUAGCGGCGGACGGGUGAGUAACACGUGGAUAACCUACCUAUAAGACUGGGAUAACUUCGGGAAACCGGAGCUAAUACCGGAUAAUAUAUUGAACCGCAUGGUUCAAUAGUGAAAGACGGUUUUGCUGUCUCUUAUAGAUGGAUCCGCGCCGCAUUAGCUAGUUGGUAAGGUAACGGCUUACCAAGGCGACGAUGCGUAGCCGACCUGAGAGGGUGAUCGGCCACACUGGAACUGAGACACGGUCCAGACUCCUACGGGAGGCAGCAGUAGGGAAUCUUCGGCAAUGGGCGAAAGCCUGACGGAGCAACGCCGCGUGAGUGAUGAAGGUCUUCGGAUCGUAAAACUCUGUUAUUAGGGAAGAACAAAUGUGUAAGUAACUAUGCACGUCUUGACGGUACCUAAUCAGAAAGCCACGGCUAACUACGUG
rnacentral:rRNA from 1 species